rnacentral:tmRNA from 2 species
GGGGAUGCAAGGCAUAGACAGUUGGUCAUUUGUUAUUGAUGCAUACCGAGCAUAGACAUAAUCUCGUAAAAAUUUGUCUAAAUGUUAAUUGCAAAAUUAGCUUCUAAAGUGAAAGCUUCAAUUUCUCCUUACUUCGGUGAGGCGGACUUUGCUUUCGCUUCAGUCUCGGCUUACGCCUAACUGAUGUCUCUCUUAUAGACUUCCGAUAUAUAAGAGCGGGCAUAAUAUUAUCGGGAUAGCUGUGGCGACUUUCUCGAUGUCACAGCAAAACAAAGAGAAUCGAUUAAAAAAUAUUUGGCUCGUUUCUAAAUUUUUUAAUUUAAACCCACAAGCGCGCUAUGUAUGUAGACUUCUUAGCAAUAACCUUCUGCACGGGGAUUCGAUUUCCCCCAUCUCCACAG